CGGAGUCGACGCCUCGGGGAUGCAAAUGGGUCGGACUAAUUGCUGCGUUUACUGUGCGGUGAGAGCAAUUUGAAGAUGAUGGAAGCUGCAGGUGCAGUUAAAAGGAGCGGCUAGGUGCUUACAUGACAGGAACUCCGUGAGCUUGAACACUUUCAUUAUCGGCUACAGUCAUGUGAGAAUGGUGCCAUGAUGGUCUUAGCUGGAAUGACAAAUCUCCAAGCGGGUCCGCCCCACCACUCAGCCUACAUUUCUUAAACCAGGGGCGACUUCUCAAGGAGAACUUGAGGAAAAUGAUCUUCGUAGUUGUCCAGAACUUUGGGACCCUGAUGUACCUUUCUCCAGGGAUGCACUUUGG